GCUGGGGUGGCGGAACUGGCAUACGCGCACGCUUGAGGUGCGUGUCCUUAACCGGGUACGGGUUCAAUUCCCGUCCCCAGCA
rnacentral:tRNA from 1 species